GACCAUUCAAGCUCAGCUUGGUGUUGGGUGCUUGUCCUCCCCCCGUGGCGGACUCACCUCAAAUGCAUUGGCGGCCGGCAUGUUGGCUUCGAGCGCAGUAGAAACGCGCCUGUCCUGACGUGCCCGUCCUCCACAAGGCCUUUUUUAA
rnacentral:misc_RNA from 1 species